GUCGACAGUCCUUCUUCCUGUAUAGACUGAAUCGUAUGCAAAGUUGUGGCAAUAACCAACCACAGAGUAACAAUCUUUGAGAUAAGGUAUAAUAGGAUACCAGCUUACCUCCCAAAUGAAAACAUCACCGGCAAUUAAAGUCUCGUCAUGAAUCCGCGCGUCACUCACGAGAAGGAUGGCGCGCACCACAUUUGUGAUGUCCGCUGUGGAUUCUUGGUACCCUGGUCUGAUACGAAGGAUUGUCACCCGAUACCCUUCGUCGGUCACCUUUGGUAUCCCUGAGUGGUGGUUCAUUAAGGGAUCUGUAUUCAUAUAGGUCUCGAUGCCGGGAGCGCGACAGAAAAAAUGUUUCCA